rnacentral:lncRNA from 1 species
AAAAUUCCUCUCCAGGCUCACAUUUACCUAUUUCCUCAUCACACUGACUGUUGUCAGUUAUCAGUCUGCUUUCUUCCAAGAGUCUGUUAAAUGUAGCAUGUUUACAGUAUACUCAACUCUCUGUUCGGCUAACUGUGAUAGUGCAGGCCCCUCAUUGCCCCAGCCCUGUACAAUUCUGGAAAUGCUUGGAGGUGAAUCAGUCUUUCUAACUGAUACAUCGUCAGUUUCUUUCUGUUUCUCUGUUCAUGCAUGCACAGGUAUAUACGGGUCGUUCAUGUGCAUUUAGAGUUCAGAUGUCAACCUCACUGUUCUUUGUAAGAUAUCAUUCACCUUGUUUUAAAGAUAGGGUGCCUGACUGCUCUGGAGUUUGCCGAAGGGAUGAAGCUAGCUGGCCAGCAGGUCCCUGGGAUCUGCCUACUUACCUCUCAUAUCACAAGUGUAGGCUGUGCUGCUAGGCUGUCUUUCACGUGGCUUCCUGGGAUCAAAUGUAGAACCUUGUUCUUGCACAGGGAGACUUUACCACCUGUUCUAUGUCCUAGCCCCACUAUACCAGUUUCACAGAGUGUUGCACUGAGCCAAUUUUUUCCCUGAUUGACUUAUGAUCUACUAAAGAAAAGUGGGACUUUUAAAGCAAAUAUCAUGUCUUUCAAGACCAUUAUAGGAUGUAUGCCUAGAAAGACUGUUGCUACCCAGUACAAAAAGUAGUAGCAUAGCUUAGAAGUUAUAUUAAUCUACAAAUAAGUUAAAACUUCCUUAACCUUUUUUUUUUUUUUGAGACAGGGUUUCUCUUCAUAGCCCUGGCUGUUCUAGAACUCACUCUGUAGACCAGGCUGGCCUCGAACUCAGAAGUCCACCUGCUUUUGCCUCCCAAGUGCUGGGAUUAAAGGCAUGUGCUACCACUGCCUGGCCCUUUCUUAACUUCUUAAAUUGAGUUUUUACACCUCUCAGUUUGGACAACUAUGCUGUUCUAGACAGUUUUUAAUCAACAGAGCAAGCUAUACCAUAUAAAGCUUCUAACAUAUAAAAGGUACUUGAGAGAUAUUUAUUUUUUUGACCUUUACAUUCUGCGUUAUAGGAGGAUGGUAGAACAUCAUUGCUUCUGUUCACACACCUACAGAGUUUUAUCUAAGUCUCCAUAACAAGGGAGUCAUAGCCAUACAAAGAGCAUUUGACAUUACAUUGUGCUCCUUACUAUGCUGAUGAUAGUAACCAUUCAUGCUUUGAAAUUGAUAUAGGACAGCAUUUAUGUGCUAUGUAGAACAUGGGAGUGAUAUGGACAUUAGAGAUACCACCGAGGCAAGCACUUGCUUGAUUUCACACCUGCUUUCAGAAUGGCACGCUGGUGCUCCAUCUGAUGUAUAGAUAGAUGGCAUAAGGGAGCCUCCAUGUACUGCCCUGAAGCUGAGGGCACCACCGAUAAAUCUGAACUCCAGAAAAUGCGAUUCCACUCCAGGCACGUGUAAACCCAGGAGGGACACAUCAUUGACUAUCAUUUUGGAAAUCAGUUAAUUGAAAACAUUUGUUUGACAUUAGAGCACAGCACUAGUUUGUUUUAGUCACCAUUGUUCUUUUGGGUGGCUUUAGGGGAGCAAACAGUAAAACAAACUGACUUUUGUACUAUUUACAGGAAAUAAAAUUACAGCCUUAAAGAUAAAUGAGCAAGUUUGUGAACUAACUCCUAACAACAACCUUUAUGAAGAUUAUUUGUAUGCCAUUACCAUUGGUUUCUUCCAAAGAUAUAUUCUCAAUGAUAAUAAAGUAAUAAAAGAUUGUUUUCACAGCUGUUUGUCUUUGAUUACAUAUUUCUUUGAAGUACUGUAAUAAGACAGACUUUGAACCUGGAAAGAGAUCAAAUAAUGAAUUGUUCUGCUUUGUGAAGCUUAGGAAAGGAUUUUAUUGUCGAAACAUAUAGAGCAACAUAUUUUUUCUUCUUACAGUUAAAUAAUGGUUGAAAGUUCUGUGAGAUCAUUACAGAUGGACUGGAUUAGAGGGCUUGAGGCCAAGUGUGAGAGAUCAGUGCC